CUAACCCUAAAGGUGGAUGGUUUUCGGCCUGAAGAGAUUGAGGCUGGAAAGCAAAAGGGAAUGCGAAGGCGUGGACCCAGACAGGGCAUGCCAAACGCAGCCGACCCCGCGACUGUAGAACAGCGAGGGUUUUCCAUCCGGUUUUGACGAUCCUUGCAUGGCGGGCCGCGUGGUGUGGCCGGUGCGGUGAGCGGACGGACCGGAAAAGCCACUGGAGUGGCAAAGCGAUCUGCCGGGGUUGGACGCCUCUUUAUCUACGAAUCGUCCGCCUUUUCGCUUUUGCUAUGACCUCCGGGAAGGUGAGGGAAAUCUGCGAACGGGUGCCGUUAUGGUACCGGUUUGACGCUGUGAGCCAGGAGACCUGCCGUCCGUGACGGGCUUUA
rnacentral:ncRNA from 2 species